rnacentral:misc_RNA from 1 species
AAUGUCGUAACAAGGUUUCCGUAAGUGAACCUGCGGAAGGAUCAUUAUCGUGGGGCUUCGGCCCUAUCGAGAUAGAACCCUUGCCUUUUUAGUACCUUCUGUUGCCUCGGCGUCUGCUUCACGGCGGCGCCAACGGGGACCAAAUAAUAAACUCUUUUUCAUCAUGAAAUUAGUCUGAAAAAAAAGGUAAAAUGUUAAAAG